ensembl:lincRNA
CCUCACUCUGUGGUUAGCCUGAGUUAUGUUCUUGGGAUAACUCUUAUAAUUUCCAAUGUCUUAGGUUUACAGAGGACUUUCUGAGAAUCUAUAGUUUUAAAGCUCUCAUUGGUAUAAAGACAUAGAUGAUGACGAGUGAAAAAUCUUUGUCAGAGAACAGAUGAAAUUCAUGAAUCCAAGGCCUUAUUUCUUGGUGAGUAACUACUAUGCCAGUAGUUGAAAGUAUAAGUUUUUUUUUUAAUGUGAUCCCAAGAAAUAUUUUUUAUGUCUUUUCCAGAAGAUGAAGUCCCCAGGUUUUCAAGCAUGUGGAGGCUACCUGGAAGUAUCCUGAGGAAAGGCAGAAAGUUAACAAUAGUGACCAGAAGAUAUUAUCAUCUCCAUGAUCAUUGCUGUCUCCUAAUGGUGCUGUCCAGUGAACUUAGAAAUUUGGACUAAAUCUCUGAAAGCCUGUAUAUUGAUUUAUCGGGAUAUGUCUC